rnacentral:rRNA from 1 species
CCCUUAGAUGUCCUGGGCCGCACGCGCGUUACACUGAUGCAUUCAACGAGCUUAUAACCUUGGCCGAGAGGCCUGGGCAAUCUUGUUAACGUGCAUCGUGAUAGGGAUAGAUUAUUGAAAUUAUUAAUCUUGAACGAGGAAUUCCUAGUAAACGCGAGUCAUCAGCUCGCAUUGAUUACGUCCCUGCCCUUUGUACACACCGCCCGUCGCACCUACCGAUUGAAUGGUUCGGUGAAGAUCUCGGACUUCGAUAUUUGUUCUUCAUUGAACUUAUAUAGUGGGAAGUUAUCUGAACCUCAUCAUUUAGAGGAAGGUGAAGUCGUAACA